GGUAUCAAAGGUCCUUGCUAAGGAACUGAGGGCAGAUUGAACAUAGAUCUUCUAUUUAAAGGUGGGAAAAGGUGAAGACAAGCCACAAAAACAUGGGGAUAUGGACUCACUGUGUCUUAAAAGAGACUGCAGGACGCAGGUGGAGGGACAGGGAAAAUGGGAAAAGAGGUGUGUGAGUAUAAGCGAGGAAUCGAGAGAUGGAGAGCAGAGGGCUGAAGUUUAUGAAAAAGUAACGGUCACACAUUCAAUCAUUUCCUCGUAUCCAGUCAAAGUUACCCUUCUCCACACCGAUCCCAAAGGACUCCUCUUCCA